rnacentral:lncRNA from 1 species
AGACGUUCAAUAAAGCUUUUGCUUUUGAAUAGGAUUGAGUUGCAAAUGAAAACUACUUCUUGAGGUUAGGAAGCAGGAGGUCCAGUUGCAGAAAAGGAGGGAUGAAGAUAGGAUUAUGAUCAUGGACCUUACUGCCAUGCCAGAUGAGUAAAAGAAAUACUACAUGUGCUUGCGGGCUGAGAUCAUGAGCCGAGUACUUAAUUAGAAUUUGAUUCUUCUAAAUAGUAUUAGUAGCUACUGUGAUGUUUUUUUUGAUAUGGUAUUGUGUGAUGUUCGAAACUUAAUUAGUAUUUGAAUCUUCUAAAGUGUAGUAUUUCCAUAUGGUACUGUGUGAUGUUCGAAACUUAAUUAGUAUUUGAAUCUUCUAAAGAGUAGUAUUUCCAUGUGGA